rnacentral:rRNA from 1 species
UACAGAGGUCUCAAGCGUUGUUCGGAUUCAUUGGGCGUAAAGGGUGCGUAGGCGGCGCGGUAAGUCGGGUGUGAAAUCUUGGAGCUUAACUCCGAAACUGCAUUCGAUACUGCCGUGCUUGAGGACUGGAGAGGAGACUGGAAUUUACGGUGUAGCGGUGAAAUGCGUAGAUAUCGUAAGGAACACCGGUGGCGAAGGCGGCCCUCUGGACGGAUACUGACGCUGAGGCGCGAAAGCGUGGUGAUCAAACAGG